rnacentral:rRNA from 1 species
CCUACGGGAGGCAGCAGUGGGGAAUAUUGCGCAAUGGGCGAAAGCCUGAUGCAGCGACGCCGCGUGAGGGAUGAAGGUCUUCGGAUCGUAAACCUCUGUCAGCAGGGAAGAACGGUCACGGGGGUAAUCAUCAGUGAAUUGACGGUACCUGCAAAGGAAGCACCGGCUAACUACGUGCCAGCAGCCGCGGUAAUACGGAGGGUGCGAGCGUUAAUCGGAAUUACUGGGCGUAAAGCGCUCGUAGGCGGUAUGUCAAGUCAAGGGUGAAAUCCCCGCGCUCAACGUGGGAACUGCCUGUGAAACUGGCAAACUGGAGUGUGUGAGAGGAUAGUGGAAUUCCAGGUGUAGCGGUGAAAUCCGUAGAUAUCUGGAGGAACACCAGUGGCGAAGGCGGCUCUCUGGCCCAUAACUGACGCUGAGGAGCGAAAGCGUGGGUAGCAAACAGGAUUAGAUACCCUUGUAGUC